CACAGAAUCACAGAAUUGUAGGGGCUGGAAGGGACCUCUAGCGAUCAUCGAAUCCACUCCCCCUGCCAAAGCAGGCUCCCUGGACCAGGUUGCACAGGAAGACGCUCAUGUAGCUGAUCAGGUCUUCUGCCAGAAUUCCAUCUUCCUACAUAACAGUGUUGGUUUUUUGCUGAGCUCUCACUCUUGGAACCUGAACUGCACAGAAUGUAGCACUCUCCAAGUCAAGACCCUCGUGCAUGAUGACAUCCGAAGACAGCCAUACUGUCCACAGACAGCUGCACUUGCACCCCAGCACACAGCGGCUGUAAAGGUGGGAGGUAUCAGAGGGAGAUGAGAGCAAAACUUUGCACUAAUGAAAGUACCACACCAACGUUAAUACCAGGCUGAUCGGGCAGAAUUUUGUUCUUUAUUGGUUAAUCCCCCAAAGCCCCGAACAAUCACGCACAGAACAGAC
ensembl:lncRNA